UGGGGAAUAUUGCACAAUGGGCGCAAGCCUGAUGCAGCCAUGCCGCGUGUAUGAAGAAGGCCUUCGGGUUGUAAAGUACCUUCAGCGGGGAGGAAGGCGAUGUGGUUAAUAACCGCGUCGAUUGACGUUACCCGCAGAAGAAGCACCGGCUAACUCCGUGCCAGCAGCCGCGGUAAUACGGAGGGUGCAAGCGUUAAUCGGAAUUACUGGGCGUAAAGCGCACGCAGGCGGUCUGUCAAGUCGGAUGUGAAAUCCCCGGGCUCAACCUGGGAACUGCAUCCGAAACUGGCAGGCUUGAGUCUCGUAGAGGGGGGUAGAAUUCCAGGUGUAGCGGUGAAAUGCGUAGAGAUCUGGAGGAAUACCGGUGGCGAAGGCGGCCCCCUGGACGAAGACUGACGCUCAGGUGCGAAAGCGUGGGGAGCAAACA
rnacentral:rRNA from 1 species